AUGGUGAAAGCCACCCCAUCUGCUUUGUCGUCCAGGCAGAAUUAUGUGAUUGUUCUGAAUGGCAGGAUCUCUACAAAUUUAUCACUGGAAAAUGAUUAUGAAACCAUUGUGAAACAGAUUAAAGAUGAACUGGUCAG